rnacentral:ncRNA from 1 species
CUUAUCGAGAGAGACUGAGGGAAUAGGCCCUAUGACGUCCGGCAACCGGGUAUCCGCUUAAGUUACGGGUAUCAGCGGUGCUAAUUCCUACAGAAUGUAUAUUCUGAAAGAUGAGG